AGAAUUCGCGGCCUAUUCAGCUUGUUGGUGGGGUGAUGGCCUACCAAGGCGACGACGUUGUAGCCGGCCUGAGAGGGCGACCGGCCACACUGGAACUGAGACACGGUCCAGACUCCUACGGGAGGCAGCAGUGGGGAAUAUUGCACAAUGGGCGAAAGCCUGAUGCAGCGACGCCGCGUGGGGGAUGAAGGCCUUCGGGUUGUAAACCCCUUUCAGCAGGGAAGAAGCGAAAGUGACGGUACCUGCAGAAGAAGCGCCGGCUAACUACGUGCCAGCAGCCGCGGUAAUACGUAGGGCGCAAGCGUUGUCCGGAAUUAUUGGGCGUAAAGAGCUCGUAGGCGGUUCGUCGCGUCUGCUGUGAAAGCCCGAGGCUCAACCUCGGGUCUGCAGUGGGUACGGGCGGACUAGAGUGUGGUAGGGGAGACUGGAAUUCCUGGUGUAGCGGUGGAAUGCGCAGAUAUCAGGAGGAACACCGAUGGCGAAGGCAGGUCUCUGGGCCACAACUGACGCUGAGGAGCGAAAGCGUGGGGAGCGAACAGGAUUAGAUACCCUGGUAGUCCACGCCGUAAACGGUGGGCACUGGAUGUGGGGCUUAUUCCAUGAGUUCCGCGUCGCAGCUAACGCAUUAAGUGCCCCGCCUGGGGAGUACGGA
rnacentral:rRNA from 1 species